rnacentral:rRNA from 1 species
GACGAACGCUGGCGGCGUGCUUAACACAUGCAAGUCGAACGAAGUGGCGAACGGGUGAGUAACGCGUAAUCAACCUGCCCGUCAGAGGGGGACAACAGUUGGAAACGACUGCUAAUACCGCAUACUGAAGGAGGGGAGUGCGUUUGAUUAGCUAGUUGGAGGGGUAACGGCCCACCAAGGCGAAGAUCAGUAGCCGGUCUGGAGGGAUGGACGGCCCAAUUGGGACUGAGACACGGCCCAGACUCCUACGGGAGGCAGCAGUUGGGGAUCUUCCGAAAUGGGCGAAAGUCUGACGGAGCAACGCCGCGUGAGGGGUGACGGGCUUCGGGUUGUAAAGCUCUGUUAAUCGGGACGCGUUACCGGAAUAGAAAGCCACGGCUAACUACGUGCCAGCAGCCGCGGUAAUAC